rnacentral:rRNA from 1 species
CUACGGGAGGCACCAGUGGGGAAUAUUGGACAAUGGGGGAAACCCUGAUCCAGCAAUGCCGCGUGUGUGAAGAAGGCCUGCGGGUUGUAAAGCACUUUCGGUUGGGAGGACUGCUUCUAGCACUAAUAUUGUUGGAAGUUGACGUUACCUUCAGAAGAAGCACCGGCUAACUCCGUGCCAGCAGCGCGCGGUAAUACGGAGGGUGCAAGCGUUAAUCGGAAUUACUGGGCGUAAAGCGCGCGUAGGCGGCUAGAUCAGUCGGGUGUGAAAGCCCCGGGCUUAACCUGGGAACUGCAUCCGAUACUGGCUAGCUUGAGUGCAGGAGAGGAGAGUGGAAUUCCAGAUGUAGCGGUGAUAUGCGUAGAUAUGUGGAGGAACACCAAUGGCGAAGGCAGCUCUCUGGCCUGAUACUGACGCUGAGGUGCGAAAGCGUGGGGAGCAAACAGGAUUAGAUACCCCCGUAGUC